GAUGAACGCUGGCGGCGUGCUUAAUACAUGCAAGUCGAGCGGACGGACGAGAAGCUUGCUGCGCGGAUGUUAGCGGCGGACGGGAGUGUAACACGUGUAUACCCUACCUAUAAGACGGGUAUAACUACGGGAAACCGGAGCUUACCCCGUAUAAGAUCUUGAACCGCAGGGGGCAAAAGUGAGAUACGGCCUUGCGGUCACUUAUAGAUGCAUCCGCGCUGCAUGAGCUAGUCGGUAAGUUAACGGCUUACCAAGGCAACGAUGCAUAGCCGAGCUGAGAGGGUGAUCGGCCACACGGGAGGUGGGCCGCGGUCCAGACUCCUGCGAGACGCACCAGUCGGCAAUCGUCCGCAGCGGGCGGGAGCCUGACGGAGCGACGCCGCGUGAGUGACAGCAGCCUUCGGAUCGUGAUGCUCUGUUUUUAGGUGAGAACCUCUGUGUCCGUAGCUGUGGACAUCGUGACGGUACCUGAUCAGAAAGCACCGGCUAACUACGUG
rnacentral:rRNA from 1 species